UACGUAGGGGGCGAGCGUUAUCCGGAUUCAUUGGGCGUAAAGCGCGCGUAGGCGGCCGCCUAAGCGGAACCUCUAACCCCGGGGCUCAACCUCGGGCCGGGUUCCGGACUGGGCGGCUCGAGUGCGGUAGAGGAGAGCGGAAUUCCCGGUGUAGCGGUGGAAUGCGCAGAUAUCGGGAAGAACACCGAUGGCGAAGGCAGCUCCCUGGGCCGUCACUGACGCUGAGGCGCGAAAGCUGGGGGAGCGAACAGG
rnacentral:rRNA from 1 species